CGGGGUGUAGCGCAGUUUGGUAGCGCACUUGGUUUGGGACCAAGGGGUCGCAGGUUCAAAUCCUGUCACCCCGACCA
rnacentral:tRNA from 1 species